GCCCUUGAGGCGUGGCUUCCGGAGCUAACGCGUUAAGUCGACCGCCUGGGGAGUACGGCCGCAAGGUUAAAACUCAAAUGAAUUGACGGGGGCCCGCACAAGCGGUGGAGCAUGUGGUUUAAUUCGAUGCAACGCGAAGAACCUUACCUACUCUUGACAUCCAGAGAACUUUCCAGAGAUGGAUUGGUGCCUUCGGGAACUCUGAGACAGGUGCUGCAUGGCUGUCGUCAGCUCGUGUUGUGAAAUGUUGGGUUAAGUCCCGCAACGAGCGCAACCCUUAUCCUUUGUUGCCAGCGGUUAGGCCGGGAACUCAAAGGAGACUGCCAGUGAUAAACUGGAGGAAGGUGGGGAUGACGUCAAGUCAUCAUGGCCCUUACGAGUAGGGCUACACACGUGCUACAAUGGCGCAUACAAAGAGAAGCGACCUCGCGAGAGCAAGCGGACCUCAUAAAGUGCGUCGUAGUCCGGAUUGGAGUCUGCAACUCGACUCCAUGAAGUCGGAAUCGCUAGUAAUCGUAGAUCAGAAUGCUACGGUGAAUACGUUCCCGGGCCUUGUACACACCGCCCGUCACACCAUGGGAGUGGGUUGCAAAAGAAGUAGGUAGCUUAACCUUCGGGAGGGCGCUUACCACUUUGUGAUUCAUGACUGGGG
rnacentral:rRNA from 1 species